GUCCUUUUGUAGUUGAAGAGUAAAUUGAUUGGGCGUUCACGUGCAUGUGUCAGAUAUGCCACCCUCCAACCUUGUUAGGAUGUUGGCACAUUACCUGUCUGACA